rnacentral:rRNA from 1 species
UACGUAGGGUGCGAGCGUUGUCCGGAAUUAUUGGGCGUAAAGAGCUCGUAGGCGGUCUGUCGCGUCUGCUGUGAAAACUCAGGGCUUAACCCUGAGCUUGCAGUGGGUACGGGCAGACUAGAGUGCGGUAGGGGAGACUGGAAUUCCUGGUGUAGCGGUGAAAUGCGCAGAUAUCAGGAGGAACACCGGUGGCGAAGGCGGGGUCUCUGGGCCGUAACUGACGCUGGAGGAG